rnacentral:lncRNA from 1 species
GAUCAGUGUUGCAGAGUAGCUAUAUAUAAAAGUUGGUGACUUGGGAUGGAUGGGGGGUGGAUUGCUUGUACUAUAUCAUGUUGGAGGUGUUUAUGCUGGGGGUGUGUUCGAUAUACAUCGGGUGUGUGGCGCUUACAGUUGUAUGAGGGCCUACCUGUGGUGGGUCGUAUCCUGUUGUUUGCACGCCACUUCCAUGCUGGUGGUGGCAAAGGGAUCGUUGUUGUUGAUAGUUUGCCAUGUGUUUUUUCUCUUUUGUAUCUCAGUACCCUCUAGUAUAGUUAACCCACCCGCCAUGGUUCCCCAAACUAUUCCAAAUAUGUGUG